AGAGCCAGCCAGACAGUCGCUGCGCAAGUCUUUGCGUGGAGGAAAGUCCGGGCUUCACAGGGCAGGGUGCCAGGUAACGCCUGGGGGGCCGUCUUCAGGACGGUUCACGGCCAGUGCCACAGAGAACAUACCGCCGAUGGCUUCGUUUCGACGAAGAUCAGGCAAGGGUGAAAAGGUGCGGUAAGAGCGCACCGCGCGUCUGGUAACAGACGUGGCAGGGUAAACCCCACCUGAAGCAAGGCCAAAUAGGGAUGCGAUGGCGUGGCCCGCGCUGCAUCCGGGUAGGCUGCUAGAGGCGACUGGUGACAGUCGUCCCAGAUGAAUGACUGUCCAACGACAGAACCCGGCUUAUCGGCUGGCUCUCACC
rnacentral:RNase_P_RNA from 1 species